GUAUAAGACAGGACUGCAAGGGGCAGAGAGACACUCGUCUUCUACUGAGGUCCAGAAGACAUCAAGACAACCAGGUAUCAAUCAGUCAGCAUAUUCCAACUAUCAGAGAGGAUAGUGCCAUGGAGAAGGUGGAGAAUGGACUUGUGAAUGCCAUUGCAGAAGAUGAAGCACAACCAUCAUGGUUCAGACAUCAUCAUGGACAUCAUCAUGGACAUCAUCGUGGACAUCAUCAUGGAUGAUGAUGAUGAGGUACCAGAAUGGGGUCACGGACGAUUCUUUCCUGGUCUCCAUAUGGAAUCAACAUAACUAACAUUACUCUACAAAUCCCACAUUCAUCCAUUCAUGAUGGCAAUGUUGUAUUGUGAUCCUCCAAUAAAAUAGGCCUUUCACACA